rnacentral:rRNA from 1 species
CUCCCGGCCGNNNNGGCGGCCGCGGGANUCGAUUAGAGUUUGAUCCUGGCUCAGGACGAACGCUGGCGGCGUGCUUAACACAUGCAAGUCGAACGAUGAACUGGAGCUUGCUCCAGGAAUUAGUGGCGAACGGGUGAGUAACACGUGAGUAACCUGCCCUUGACUCUGGGAUAAGCGCUAGAAAUGGCGUCUAAUACCGGAUACGAGCUUCAGCCGCAUGGCUAGGAGUUGGAAAGAAUUUUGGUCAAGGAUGGACUCGCGGCCUAUCAGCUAGUUGGUGAGGUAAUGGCUCACCAAGGCGACGACGGGUAGCCGGCCUGAGAGGGUGACCGGCCACACUGGGACUGAGACACGGCCCAGACUCCUACGGGAGGCAGCAGUGGGGAAUAUUGCACAAUGGGCGAAAGCCUGAUGCAGCAACGCCGCGUGAGGGAUGACGGCCUUCGGGUUGUAAACCUCUUUUAGUAGGGAAGAAGCGAAAGUGACGGUACCUGCAGAAAAAGCACCGGCUAACUACGUGCCAGCAGCCGCGGUAAUACGUAGGGUGCAAGCGUUGUCCGGAAUUAUUGGGCGUAAAGAGCUCGUAGGCGGUUUGUCGCGUCUGCUGUGAAAUCUGGGGGCUCAACCCCCAGCCUGCAGUGGGUACGGGCAGACUAGAGUGCGGUAGGGGAGAUUGGAAUUCCUGGUGUAGCGGUGGAAUGCGCAGAUAUCAGGAGGAACACCGAUGGCGAAGGCAGAUCUCUGGGCCGUAACUGACGCUGAGGAGCGAAAGCAUGGGGAGCGAACAGGAUUAGAUACCCUGGUAGUCCAUGCCGUANACGUUGGGAACUAGAUGUGGGGGCCAUUCCACGGUCUCCGUGUCGCAGCUAACGCAUUAAGUUCCCCGCCUGGGGAGUACGGCCGCAAGGCUAANACUCAAAGGAAUUGACGGGGGCCCGCACAAGCGGCGGAGCAUGCGGAUUAAUUCGAUGCAACGCGAAGAACCUUACCAAGGCUUGACAUAUACCGGAAA